rnacentral:tRNA from 1 species
GCGGAAGUAGUUCAGUGGUAGAAUACAACCUUGCCAAGGUUGGGGGCGCGGGUUCGAAUCCCGUCUUCCGCU